GAGCUAUUUUAUCUGGACCUAAUUAAACAACCUUCAUUACUGGCAGCUCUGUCAGAGUGAGAUAAUGGAUCAAACUCUGGAACAUCCUUACCUAAGUGUGACACAGUCUCAGGAUCCAUAGACUGUUCUGAGGCAGGUCCCCUUUAAGCCACACAGUUUGAAAAGACUUCUGCAACCAGUGAAUGCUUCUUUGCCAACAUAUGUAUGCAAUGAGUUCAAUCCCAGUUACUCAAGAACUGGAGCAGUGAAAGCAGCUGAAUUUUAAUUUAAUUGUAGGUUCCAUGAAGACCCCUUUCUGCAUUGCACCUCAUCGAGGAACCACCUGUGUAUCAUCUCCCAUCCUGACAUCUUCAGUCUGCAUCAACUCUCCUCAUCCUCACUGGAGGGGAGCUAGUAGCACAUUGGACCCUUGAGCAAAGUCCAUGCAAUAAGUAGUGCCUAGAGGGCCCAGCCCCAUUGUGCUUCACACUGUACAAACUCAUAACAAAAAGAUGGUCCCUUCUCCAAAAAGCUUACAAUCUAAGUAGAAGAUGAGUCAACAGACGGGGGCGUACAAGGAUACUUGAAAGAAACUGGAACAAAGGACAGUGUGCAAGGGGUGUGAGUGAUUGCUGGA